rnacentral:rRNA from 1 species
ACGGAAGGCAGCAGUCGGGAAUUUUGCGCAAUGGAGGAAACUCUGACGCAGUGACGCCGCGUGCAGGAUGAAGGUUUUCGGAUUGUAAACUGCUUUAGACAGGGAAGAAAAAAGACAGUACCUGUAGAAUAAGCUCCGGCUAACUACGUGCCAGCAGCCGCGGUAAUACGUAGGGAGCAAGCGUGAUCCGGAUUUAUUGGGUGUAAAGGGUGCGUAGACGGGAAAAUAAGUUAGCUGUGAAAUCCCUCGGCUCAACCGAGGAACUGCAACUAAAACUGUUUUGCUUGAGUCCUGGAGAGGAAAGUGGAAUUCCUAGUGUAGCGGUGAAAUGCGUAGAUAUUAGGGGGAACACCAGUGGCGAAGGCGACUUUCUGGACAGAAACUGACGUUGAGGCACGAAAGUGUGGGGAGCAAACAGGAUUAGUACCCUGGUA